rnacentral:tRNA from 1 species
GGGGUUGUGGCUUAGCGGUAGAGCGCUUGCCUAGCAUGCAAGGCACUGGGUUCAAUCCUCAACACCA